UUAACUCAAGGGAAGAAUUCAUUGAUUCACAAUAGUAUUACUAAGAUUGUACACAGCUAAAAAAUGUCUAGGAUCCUCCCUUUCUCCCACCCUCCACCCCUAUUCUAUAUUUUCCCAAUGGUUUUUUUUAACCUGAGUGCAGCACUUGAACUCCAUUAAAAUAUAUCAUCUUAAUUUCAGUUUCCAGUUCCAGUUAAAAGCUGUAAGAAUCUGAUUCUGUCAUAAAAUACGCUUGUACACUGACAAUCCAGAAAUUCCGGUGGUUUUUACUUUCUCUUUAGCUUCAACGACUUCACACAGAAAGCAUGCAUUACUUGUUUCACUGGCAACUUAAAUAAGCAUGGUCUUCCAUAGCUCCUUAAUGAAAACGGUGAGAGGAGGGAACCAACCACUGAACCCUUUCCUUAAAGACCUCACAGCCUUGGGUGUCCCAGCAGGUAGGUAGCUCUGCCAGUUGGAGCGCUCAUCAGACGGGCCUGUCCAGGGUCAGGGCGCAUAUAAGAAUUAACCAAUGAAUGCAUUAACUGGAACGAAACUGAUGUUUCUCUAAAAUCAACAAAUUAAAAAAAAACUUUCCCCAUAAAACCCACCAAUGAGAAGGAAAGAAAAAAUGUUGACACUGUGACUCUGGUGGUCGGCUGAAAUCGCACGAGGCAACACAGUAGUUAAAAAGAUGCCAUGUGGUUCCCAGCUUAACUGGGUACAAACUUCAUGUCUGAGCCUGUUUGCUUACCUGUAAAGUGGGGAUAAUACCACCUACCUCCUACCACAUUCGGUUGUUUCAAGGACUAAACGCAAUAAUGCAUACAAAAGGCCUAGCCAAGUGCCUAGUGAGGGCUUUAAUACAUCGUAUUACUGCAACGAUUUCGUUUGAAAUUUGAGUGUGAAGUGUCUCAAAAAAAAAAA